AUCCACGAAACCCUAAGGCGCAAUGAAAGUGAAGGUCAGGCACAGCACUGACUGAGGCAGGAUCCGUCCGGGUGAGCGAAGCUCUUCUUCCUUUCGCGGGUUCGUCCCGCGGGGGAGCUCGGCGGCGCACUGCCAGCCCAUCUCGGCCGCUUCCUGUCGGCGAGGUGGAGCUAGAGCGCACACGUUGGGACCCGAAAGAUGGUGAACUAUGCUCGGGCAGGACGAAGCCAGAGGAAACUCUGGUGGAGGUCCGUAGCGAUUCUGACGUGCAAAUCGAUCGUCGGACCCGAGUAUAGGGGCGAAAGACUAAUCGAACCGUCUAGUAGCUGGUUCCUUCC
rnacentral:rRNA from 1 species